UACGUAGGGUGCGAGCGUUGUCCGGAAUUAUUGGGCGUAAAGAGCUUGUAGGCGGUUUGUCGCGUCUGCCGUGAAAUUUCGAGGCUCAACCUCGAACUUGCGGUGGGUACGGGCAGACUAGAGUGUGGUAGGGGAGACUGGAAUUCCUGGUGUAGCGGUGAAAUGCGCAGAUAUCAGGAGGAACACCGAUGGCGAAGGCAGGUCUCUGGGCCGUAACUGACGCUGAGGAGCGAAAGCGUGGGGAGCGAACAGG
rnacentral:rRNA from 1 species